AGUCGAACGAUGAAGCCCAGCUUGCUGGGUGGAUUAGUGGCGAACGGGUGAGUAACACGUGAGUAACCUGCCCUUAACUCUGGGAUAAGCCUGGGAAACUGGGUCUAAUACCGGAUAGGAGCGCCCACCGCAUGGUGGGUGUUGGAAAGAUUUAUCGGUUUUGGAUGGACUCGCGGCCUAUCAGCUUGUUGGUGAGGUAAUGGCUCACCAAGGCGACGACGGGUAGCCGGCCUGAGAGGGUGACCGGCCACACUGGGACUGAGACACGGCCCAGACUCCUACGGGAGGCAGCAGUGGGGAAUAUUGCACAAUGGGCGCAAGCCUGAUGCAGCGACGCCGCGUGAGGGAUGACGGCCUUCGGGUUGUAAACCUCUUUCAGUAGGGAAGAAGCGAAAGUGACGGUACCUGCAGAAGAAGCACCGGCUAACUACGUGCCAGCAGCCGCGGUAAUACGUAGGGUGCGAGCGUUAUCCGGAAUUAUUGGGCGUAAAGAGCUCGUAGGCGGUUUGUCGCGUCUGUCGUGAAAGUCCGGGGCUUAACCCCGGAUCUGCGGUGGGUACGGGCAGACUAGAGUGCAGUAGGGGAGACUGGAAUUCCUGGUGUAGCGGUGGAAUGCGCAGAUAUCAGGAGGAACACCGAUGGCGAAGGCAGGUCUCUGGGCUGUAACUGACGCUGAGGAGCGAAAGCAUGGGGAGCGAACAGGAUUAGAUACCCUGGUAGUCCAUGCCGUAAACGUUGGGCACUAGGUGUGGGGACCAUUCCACGGUUUCCGCGCCGCAGCUAACGCAUUAAGUGCCCCGCCUGGGGAGUACGGCCGCAAGGCUAAACUCAAAGGAAUUGACGGGGGCCCGCACAAGCGGCGGA
rnacentral:rRNA from 1 species